rnacentral:rRNA from 1 species
AUGGAUAGCUUAUUUGCUUUGUUGUAUAUACUUUGUAGUUUCAAUGACGAGACAUACAUGUCAACUAUGGGUGUUGGCUCGAACAACUCUCAUUGGUCUCAAACCAAUGAUGCACAUUUUGAUGAUCAUGAGUUUGAGGUGGACGAGGAUGGUGAGGGUUUCUUCAAUGCACUGAAAGAAAGAGGGGGUAACUACACCAUGGAUGAAGACAUCUUGCUAUGCAAUACAUGGUUGCAAGCAUCGAGCGAUCCCACCAUUGGAGGGAAUCAAAGUAGAGAUGCAUAUUGGAACCGGAUUAAGGACCACUUUGAUCUACACAACAAAAGUGGAAUUGACCGCUCGGGAAGAUUGCUUCGCUCCCGGUGGUGA